rnacentral:rRNA from 1 species
UGACACGUAGGCACCAAGCGUUGUCCGGAUUUAUUGGGCGUAAAGAGCUCGUAGGCGGUUCGGUUAGUCGGGUGUGAAAACUUUGGGCUCAACCCAAAGCGUGCACUCGAUACUGCCGUGACUAGAGUUCGGUAGGGGAGUGGGGAAUUCCUAGUGUAGCGGUGAAAUGCGCAGAUAUUAGGAGGAACACCGGUGGCGAAGGCGCC